GCAAAAAAAGAAAAUGCCAAAUGAUAUGUCUUCACUAUGACAAACCUCUUUGUUAUGAGCCUUGCUUGAUGAUAUUUCAGUAUUUGUCUUUCAGAUCAAUGAACAAUUCCACAGGCUCACCGCAAAGCAUCUUGAGGCAAGGUUUAUGCAGGACACCCCUAAGCUGCUGUCCUUAUUCCAUUCCAAGGGAGGAGUACUUUCAGACAGAUUGCGGGUCAUGCUGGAUGGAAGCUGAGGGGGGUCAUUUCCUGCAAGAACAUGUAAAGGAAAUCUAUGCUAUCAACUAGGAGGGUGCCGUGGCGAGUGAUGGUCCAGAGGAGCAGGUCAGGAACGGUGUCCUCUACCACAGGCCCGCUUGUUGUCGGUGAAGCCUCCUGGGCCACAGAAUCUGUGCUGGGACCAACCUCUGCCUACCGGGGGAUGGUCACCGAGAGGCGGGGCUCGAGCACAUUGCGGUCUGGGACCCCGUCCCCGAUGGGCCCGUGGCGGUCAUCUAGGCUAAAGAGGUUAGAGGGUAAGGAAGACACGUUUAUUCUGCAAGGUGUGUUUUAAAGGGUCAC